AUCAAUGAAUCUUUCUGUAAGCAUACACCAAUAUACUUAGGAAAUAAUAACCUCAUGAUUAAAUGAGAAAGCUCAAAUCGAUAAAUGAUUUCCCAUUUGUCACUAAUUGCAAUCUUGUUGCGAUUAGCAAGUCAAACAAAGUUUGGUAAAGUGUUCCCGGUACAUAACCAUGGAACAAUAUAUACAAAAUGUUGCACCACAGGAAUGAGAAGCAUAACUAAUACAAGCAAACCUCAUUAGCUCCAGUUGUAUCAUCCACGUGGAACUCCAAUAUGACAUCAUUUUUUCCUUGCAACUGCAUUUGUGAGACAUCUGCUAAAGAUAACUCAAAUGCUUGCUUUGAACCAACCAGAAAGGUAAGCAUAUUUCCAUUUAAAUCAACAUCUCCCCAGUUACGGCCACUAACUGAAAGUUGCUUCUCUUCUGGUGCUAUUCCACAAUUGCUUUGGAAAAAAUUGAACAAGUUUGAAAGGUCCUGGUCCCGGAAUCCUGUGAAUUUGUAGUACAACCCAUCUUUGAUUCGAACACCAAGUUGAUUUGUCCUUGGCACCUUCAUCCAUGUCACUCCUAUAACAUCAGCUUUAUCAACUUCAACUGCUUUACCACCCCCCAGUUUCUUCCAUAGAAUACCCCCCGAAUGUAACUUAAGCUGCCCAGGGUUGGUGCCUCCACGGCCACCGAGGGAGAUAUUGUUGAAGAGGUGACCGUCGGUCAUUCCGGCGAGAUCAAGUGAAAGCAGACAGAGCUUAUGUAAAUGUUAGUGGAAAAGAGGCCAAUUGCUU
rnacentral:misc_RNA from 1 species